GUCCCAGCCGCCGCGGUAAUACGGAGGGUGCAAGCGUUAUCCGGAUUUAUUGGGUUUAAAGGGUGCGUAGGCGGUUAUAUAAGUCAGCGGUGAAAUUUUUCAGCUUAACUGGAAACAUGCCGUUGAUACUGUAUAGCUUGAAUAUGGUUGCUGUGAGUGGAAUGUGUAGUGUAGCGGUGAAAUGCUUAGAUAUUACACAGAAUAUCGAUUGCGAAGGCAACUCACAAAGCCAAUAUUGACGCUGAGGCACGAAAGUGUGGGGAUCAAACAGGAUUAGAUACCCUGGUAGUCCACACUGUAAACGAUGAUAACUAGCUGUCGGCGAUAGACCGUCGGUGGCCAAGCGAAAGCGAUAAGUUAUCCACCUGGGGAGUACGACCGCAAGGUUGAAACUCAAAGGAAUUGACGGGGGCCCGCACAAGCGGAGGAACAUGUGGUUUAAUUCGAUGAUACGCGAGGAACCUUACCCGGGCUCGAACGGUGCAGUAAUAUGGUAGAGAUAUCAUAGCUAGCAAUAGACUGUAUCGAGGUGCUGCAUGGUUGUCGUCAGCUCGUGCCGUGAGGUGUCGGCUUAAGUGCCAUAACGAGCGCAACCCUUGUCGUUAGUUACCAUCAAGUAAAGUUGGGGACUCUAGCGAGACUGCCACCGUAAGGUGUGAGGAAGGGGGGGAUGACGUCAAAUCAGCACGGCCCUUACGUCCGGGGCGACACACGUGUUACAAUGGUAGGUACAGAGGGCCGCUACCCAGUGAUGGGGUGCCAAUCUCAAAAACCUAUCUCAGUUCGGAUCGGAGUCUGCAACUCGACUCCGUGAAGUUGGAUUCGCUAGUAAUCGCGCAUCAGCCAUGGCGCGGNGAAUACGUUCCCGGGNCUUGUACACACCGCCCGUCAAGCCAUGG
rnacentral:rRNA from 1 species